rnacentral:rRNA from 1 species
UACGGAGGGGCUAGCGUUGUUCGGAAUUACUGGGCGUAAAGCGCGCGUAGGCGGACCUGCAAGUCGGGGUGAAAGCCCGAGGCUCAACCUCGGAACUGCCUUCGAUACUGCGGGUCUCGAGUCCGGGAGAGGUGAGUGGAAUCCUAGUGUAGAGGUGAAAUUCGUAGAUAUUAGGAAGAACACCAGUGGCGAAGGCGGCUACACGUGGCCCGGUACUGACGCUGAGGCGCGAAAGCGUGGGAGCGAACAGG